rnacentral:rRNA from 1 species
UACGUAGGGUGCGAGCGUUGUCCGGAAUUAUUGGGCGUAAAGAGCUUGUAGGCGGUCUGUCGCGUCUGCUGUGAAAAUCCGGGGCUCAACCCCGGACUUGCAGUGGGUACGGGCAGACUAGAGUGUGGUAGGGGAGACUGGAAUUCCUGGUGUAGCGGUGAAAUGCGCAGAUAUCAGGAGGAACACCGGUGGCGAAGGCGGCUCGCUGGGACGGUACUGACGCUGAGACGCGAAAGCGUGGGGAGCGAACAGG